GUCCACGCCGUAAACGAUGAUCACUCGUGAUUGGCGAUAUACGGUCAGUCACCUAGCGAAAGCGUUAAGUGAUCCACCUGGGGAGUACGAUCGCAAGAUUGAAACUCAAAGGAAUUGACGGGGGCCCGCACAAGCGGUGGAGCAUGUGGUUUAAUUCGAUGAUACGCGAGGAACCUUACCAGGGCUCGAACGCACGUUGACAGGGGUGGAAACAUCCUCUUCUUCGGACAACGUGCGAGGUGCUGCAUGGCUGUCGU
rnacentral:rRNA from 1 species